GAUGAACGCUGGCGGCGUGCUUAAUACAUGCAAGUCGAGCGAACGGACGAGAAGUUUGUUUCUUUGUUGUUUGGGGCGGACGGGGGAGAAACAUGUGGAAAACCUCCUUAAAAGACUGGGAAAAUUCCGGAAAUCGGGAGCAAAUCCCGGAUAAUCUUUUGAACCGCAUGGUUCAAAAGUGAAAGACGGCCUUGCUGUCACUAAUCGAUGGUUCCGCGCUGCAUUAGCUAGUUGGUAAGGUAACGGCUUACCAAGGCAACGAUGCAUAGCCGACUUGAGAGGGUGAUCGGCGACACUGGAACUGAGACACGGUCCAGACUCCUACGGGAGGCAGCAGUAGGGAAUCUUCCGCAAUGGGCGAAAGCCUGACGGAGCAACGCCGCGUGAGUGAUGAAGGUCUUCGGAUCGUAAAACUCUGUUAUUAGGGAAGAACAUAUGUGUAAGUAACUGUGCACAUCUUGACGGUACCUAAUCAGAAAGCCACGGCUAACUACGUG
rnacentral:rRNA from 1 species